rnacentral:lncRNA from 1 species
CACAAAGUGUUUUGCUUCAUUUUUAAUUGUUAAUAUCACAAGCGAUCAUAGACUCGUAAAUUACAAAGCUCUUUUUACCCCCCUUCCUGCUAAUAUCGAAAAAAAUAUUAAAUUGUAUGCGAUGCUGCAGAAAAUUUGGGAAAACGUCCUAUAGAUAUGUAUGUUACUAUUGGAGCACAAACCAAAGUAAAUUUAACAAAAAAAAAAAUGCCGACC